ACUGUGAGACAGAUGACCCAUGAUCUCAUCAUGAUCCAAGGGAGAUGGGAAUGGCUUUCUGAGGGAGAGAAGAUCUAGGGUGUGGGCUGUGUAGUUCUAAAGAAGGAACCCUAGUAGCAGCUAAGCCUGCAGAAAAGAAUGCAGGGUAGCCUCAUGCUGUUCUUCCCUUCCUGUGGAUUUCCCAUCUCCCUGCUGGUUCAUAUGUUUUUAGUCACACCUUAAUUAAUUUUGCUGGAGACAAGUAAAUAGCUUCCCACCUGUCUGGAAGACAACCUGUUUAUCAACUCCCUUUAACCUUUAGGCACAUACUUUAAAGCAUAAUAUAAAGUAUUGUCUCUGGAGAACAAAAAGUUUUAGGGCACACAGCCUAUCCUGCCUACUGAAUCAUCUCGACUGACAAGAGGAGGUGUGAAAACUCUGCCUGCUUCUAUUCUGCCACAUAUUCCUGGCUUUACAAAGGAGAGAGCUUUUUUCACAGGUGGGGAUUAUUGAGCCAUUAAAGCUCUUGAUCACAGCUAUGAAUGCAUAAAGAGGACAUGUCAAUUCCAUGUGGUAUAACUUAGAAAUUAAUUGGGUGGUGAAACCAAGCAGCUCAUAUGAUGACUGUCUCAUCAGAUACACAAUAUAGGCUGACUAUCAGAGCCUACUUGUGGUUUAAAAAUAAAGUUGUAAACAUUACAAAAUUGUGCUGACAUACAAGUUACUGAUUCUGAAAUGUUCCACUUUGUUUGUUCAUGUUUUACCUCUUUAGAAUAGAAUUGUUGCAUAAACCCAUCUAUUUAUUUAGAUGUGAAGAGACACCACAAACUAUUAUGGUCUUAGCUACAUCAGUGUGUAUUAAAGUAAUUAGACUGUGUAUUUUUAAACCUAAGGCCCUGCAGCAAUAGUUAAUUAAAAGAACAUGAAUUUAGAGUCUGCAGAAUAAUUGUGCCUAGGACAAUACUUGACCAAACAUAAUUAGCUGAAUUUAGAUAAAUUCUCAAUGUGGCUUUCAGCAACCUGAAUAGAAAAAUCAUACACUUCACUGGGUAUAAAUAGGUUUGAAAUGAACAUUUGGAAUGUAUGAGAAUAUUUUGCAAGAAUAAUAUACCCAGGAUUUUAGACUAUGUAAUAAAGUGUAGGCUCUUUGACUCAAGAAAAAUCUGCUUUUCUAUUCUGCUUUUAUUUGCUGAUUUUUUUUGGUUAAAUUUCUUUCAGCAGAUAUAAAAGAUGAAGGGAAGCAAAAAGAAUGAGAUUUAAAUAAAGGAAAAGUGUUAUAUUCAGUAUUUUCAGUUCUUUACUAGGGAUAAUUAAAGAUAAAUGUUAUGGUAUUGUAUUUGUUCAAAUAGCAAUAUAAAAACACAUUUCUGUCAUGUUCACUAAUAGACUUUCGAGCUGUAUUUUCCUCAGUUUUAUCUUAUUUUCCUGGUACUAUUUAAGCAAUUAAUUGCUCCAAAGAGUGCUUUUUUAAAAAAAUGUUAAAUAAGACAAAUCCCAAAAUUACAUUUUAUUUAAUUUACAGCAAGAGUAAUGUUAAGUUCUGCUGUGUUAAAAUAAAUGAAUAGUUAAAACUGGAGUAUGAAAUAAAGUUCUAAAAGCAUUAAGCAGUUGACCUGGAAAGAGAAACAUUAAGAAUUACUGGAUUUUAUUAUUAAAGAGAAGAUGAAAUAAUAGCAUGAUGAAGAGCUAAUUAAGAAAUUCAGUGUUGCUAAUAGCUUUAUCCACUAGUGGUGCAACAUGGUGAAAGAGUUCCAUUUUCAAAUGAUGCAGUUUCACUCAUUUUGCCAGAACUGAAGUGGUUUUCUCCUGCAAACUCUAAGCCAAACUAAGUCUGAGCUAAUAGGGGGACUGUGUAAAGGGAGCUCCUUCCUCUCCUCUACUGCUCAUGCACAAAAGGAAACCAUAAUAUAUCUGCAGCAUAGAGUCUCAGACUCCAACCACUGUGACAAGGGUUCAGCAGCUACAUCCCAGAUACAUGCUGCUGAGCUGGGUCUGAUAGCAGAGGGCCAGGGAACACUGCCCAUGAAUCGGACACAGGUCAGGAUAUGCAUCACAUUGGGUGAUGGUUUUUGACAGCAAUAAGCUUUUUUGUAUUUUUUAUACCCAUUAUUACUUCAGACAAUGCCCUAGGAAAACAAGCUGGCUUCUUUUCUGGUUAGCGCAUCGUCAACAAAACUAAGUUUCAGGUGCAAAAUCUUCUAUUAAUCAUGAUGCCCUAGCUGAAAAUAAUGCAGCCUGACUUUAAGAUCUCAGAUGAACUUUGUGGGACUUGACAGCAUCUUUUUACUUCUAUACUGACCAUUCUAUUUCAGUUAUUGGCAAUCAUGGAGCCCCAUAAUUACAAUUUGCUUUUCAGACCUGUGUAUAACACCACUUUAAAAUGUAUGAUUGUGGCUAUAUUUAUUUUCAUGUUUCACAUUAUAAUGCCCUCAUGGAAAAAUCCUUCAGAAUUUAAUAAGGAUGAAAGCAAUAGGAUUCUAUUGAAAUUACUCUUCUAAAAAUGACAACUUCCUAUUUUUAAAAAUAAUGAAUUUAGAUAAAAUGUCUAUUCACUAUAGAAGUGAAUGGAGGCUUAUAUCCCAGAUAUAGAAUUUAAUAGGUGUGUUUACAAAUUCUGUAGAAAUGAUGAACUUCAUCUGCCCUGUACUGAUUGGGUGUUUGCUCUAACCCUCCACCCACCCAUCCCUCACAGUCUCUCUACCUCAUCUUCAAUCCACACCUGCCUGCCCCUCUUACCUAAAUCUGCCUGCCCUGUCCUCCUCACCUUCCUGUCCUUCAGUGUCCUUUCUCCCUUCAAUUUUCUUUCCAUUUAGCGUAUCCCCUUCUAACUACCCGCUUCCCUCCCACCCCCACAAUGGAAAUAACAUGCCCUUUGCUUCCACCAUAUUGUUCACUCUGCUUGUGUAAUAUAUUCCUUCCCCCACUCUGGGAUUUGUCUUGUAUAUUUAGGCUGUAAGCCCUUUGGAGCAGAGAUUGUCAGCUACUCUGUGUUUUGUACAGUGACUAGCACAAUGGGGACCCACUCCUGGUUGGUUCUCAGGCAUUAUUGUAUUAAAUUGUGUAAUUUU